GGGCCUAUGGCGCAAUUGGGAGCGCGCCUGCAUGGCAUGCAGGAGGUUACCGGUUCGAGUCCGGUUAGGUCCACCA
rnacentral:tRNA from 1 species